UGGUUUGCCUUCCUUGUUAGCAUCCUUCAGCUCGCCAGCAAGCUAUGCUGUUUUCACUGCAAUGUUGAGGGCUAACGGUGAUGCUCUCAUUGCCCACAAAAUACACAGGGUUCCAGUGAGCAAACAGCCUUGCUCCAACCCACCCAGCACCAGCCACAGGUUCACCUGGCGUUUGGCUAAUGUCUGAAACCAAACCACACUCUGGGCCAAUUAAGUCACAGUGCCUAAGGGCCAGCAGGAUGCCAGCGCCUGCAUCUGUCAGCUUCUCAGGUGGGUCGCCCCCGUUGACACCCCACUGGCCGGGGCAUUUAAAGUUCGGUAUUCACGCAAGGAAGAGAUUUGGAGAGGAGACACGUUCGGUACAGCUGGGAUUUUAAGAGCCACAUCAUUUGAACGUUGAACCAGAAAAAUCUUACUUUCUCACCUUCAGGGGACUACAAAAAUACAGCUUGGAAUGGAACUGAGGAGCAGGGGGAUUCCAAGUUUGAGGACAGCCUGGGAGGCUGGUUAAGGAGAAGCUGUGGCCAGGGCUGAACCACAAACAGUGGCUGUGGGAUCAUGGAGGCAGUGGCUGCUGCUCUGAGUUGCUGGCUUCUUCUCAUCAUGUUGGUGACUGCGGUGAUGCUGCUACCUGGGACAAAGGGUUUACCGCUGCUUGUUCAGAGAAGAAUUGCCAGAACCAUUGUGCUACAAGAAAGCAUCGGCAAAGGUCAGUUUGGAAAAGUUUGGUAAGACAAAUGGUAGGGAGAAAUUGCUGUGAAGAUUUUCUCUUCUAGGAAAGAAUGUUCAUGGUUCCGAGAGACAGACAUUUAUCAGACUGAUUGCUCCAAACCACAGAGGAGGCACAAAAAAAAAAAAAAAAAAAAAAAAAAAAAAAAAGUGCAGGGAACCAUGACCACGCCUAACAACGACUUUGAAAUCUUCAAAAAGAUUACAGGAUACCACAAUGACGCUUCCACAUGGACUAUGGUAAAGCCAUUAAGCUGAUUAACACCACUGAAAGUUUGGCUUUGGACUACAAACUGCUUAGGACAAGUUUGAGAUGGCUAGCUGAGAUGAUCCAGAUUCACAGACAACUCGAACAAGGACUUGAGACAAGCCCUGCACUUUCCCAUUAUGCAAAGACUGGACAAAUGAUACAGAACUUGACAAUUAACCCCAAAAUUUUCUUUUCAGAAUCCCCUAAAGAUAACUCUGCCCCCAGAAAGCAGGAAGUAAUUUUAAGAAAAUGAUGCCCACAUUCCCAAGAGGUGGGGUGGGUAUUUUUUGGUCGUUCAAUGGCUUAUGGAUAAUUGUUAUUGUUUAUGAUGGUUGCUUACAAGUUGUUAAUUGUUAAUGGUCAAAAAAAAAAAAAAGAAAGCUAAACAAAGGAGAUUAGAUACAGGAUUCUUGUUUAAAAAAAGGAAAAAGAAAAAAGAAGAUAUAGAAAAGGGUAGAUCAUUGAAUCUACUCUGAAAAAAGGGAAGACAAACUGAUAAGAUAAAAGGUAGAUUUUUGGAUCUACUCAGGAAAAAAAAGAAUAUGGAUAUGAUAAGAUAAAAAGAGAGAUUAUAGAAUCUACUUUUAAAGAGGAACUACUUGUUUUAAAUAGGAUAAGUAAUGAAAAUUUUUAUCUGAAUUUGACAAAUGAUAAUGGACUGGACAUUGUUAAUGUAUAUAAUGGAGUUUUUUGUCUGAAUCAGUCAAAUGAUAAUGGACUAGACAUUGUUAAUGUAAUUCUUGACUGUAACCUUCUUUUAUUAUUUUAGACAAAAAAGGGGAAAUGUGUUGUUAUAUUAUGUCCCCCAAAAUACUGUGCACGAUAACAAACUUAUCUGGGGUCAGAGAACAGAACAGCCACUAGACAGACAUAGAGGCCAGAAAAUGGUGGCAUACACACCUUUAAUCCUAGCAUUCUGGAGACAGAGAUCCAUUGGGAUCCAUUGGGAUCUCUGUGAAUUCAAAGCCACACUGGAAACAGCCAGGCAUGGUGACUCACGCCUUUAAUCCCAGGAAGUGAUGGCAGGAAGCAGAAAGGUAUAUAAGGUGUGAGGACCAGGAAUUAGAGCCUAGUUAAGCUUUUAGGCUUUUGAGCAGCAGUUCAACUGAGAUCCAUUUGGAUGAGGACUCAGAGGCUUCCAGUUUGAGCAAACAGGAUCAGCUGAGGAAUUGGCGGAGGUGAGGUUAGCUGUGGCUUGUGUUCUGUCUCUCUUAUCUUCCAGUAUUCACCCCAAUACCUGGCUCUGGGUUUGUUUUUUUAUUAAUAAGACCUUUUAAGAUUCGUGCUAUAUCUGUCCAGUGGAUAAUUACCCUCGUAUGUUUUGUUUUUAUUUAAUUCUAUAACUGAACCCUUUAUUACUUAUUGCAUAAUUAAGGCAGAAGAUCAAUGUUUAGCAUACUGUAUGUCAGGAUUACAGAAUCUCUCUCUGUUCUCAUUCCUUUGCUGUGUUAUACAUUUCCUACAAUUGCAGUUCAUAGUUCUCCAACCCCCUUAGAAAUUUCAGGUUUCAUAUGGUUUGUGGAAGCCAAUUUCCUAAUACAGAAGCUUCCCAGACACCAGAUGGAGUGCCUGCCUUCCCCCUUGUGAAAUGGUGGUAGUCUUUAACCUGUCCAGUCUCAAACAAUUGUGCCCUGGGAACAGGCGGUCCUUUCCCAUUCACAGCCACUUAACUGUCGGAAAGCAGUUAAGAACACAGUGACCACAACUGAGGUGUGCCACAUCAGUCCCACAGAGUCACCUUCUACCCGGUUCUUCAGUCCUCUCAACCAUAUUUGGUGAAAUUGUCAUGCCCCUAGAUCCUCUGUGGGUGAGGGUACAUGUCUUCUAUUGACCUGGCUGCUUUGGCCAUCAGAGAUAUGCAAACCAAGGGUGCAUGGAGGCUGUUCCUUACUCUAGUCAGAGUGGUUACUAGCAAGAAAAUAGAGGCUGGAGUGAGAGCAGUAGUUAGUAAAUAUUGCUCUUCUAGAGGACUUGAGUUCUGUUCCUACCACCCACAUUGAGCAAUUCACAAUCACCUAUAUACAACUCCAGAUCUACAGAGUCUUCCUGUAGGCCUCUAUGGGCACCCCCCCACAAGUGGCAUACAUAUAGACUUACCUACACACAAAUAGAAAUAAAAAUAAAUCUAUCUGGGUCACUUGGUGUAGGUGGCAAUUACAUGAUGCUUUCAAAUAUCAACAGAUGUUAGAUGGUGAGUAUGGGUGAAUGUUGUCUUAGUCAGUGUUCUUUUGCUAUGAAGAGACACCUUGACCAAAGUAAAUCUUAUAAAGGAAAGCAUUUAAUUGGGGCUUGCUUACAAUUUCAGAGGUUUAGUUCGUUAUCAUCAUGGUAGGGAGCAUGGCGGCAUGCAGGAAGACAUGGUGCUGGAGAAGUAGCUGGGAGUCCUACAUCUGGAUCCACAGGCAGCAGGAAGAGAAAGACUCUGGGCCUGGCUUGGGCUUUUGAAACCUCGAAGCCCAUCUCCAGUAACAAACUUCCUCCAACAAGGCCACACCUCCUAAUCCUUCUCAAGUAGUGCCACUCUCUGACAACUAAGCAUCCAAACAUAUUAGCCUAUGAGGGUCAUUCUUAUUCAAGCCACCGUAAGUGUAUUUGUUGUUUGUAUGUUGCUGUGCUAAAAUACCUUGACAAAAAAAGCAAGCUAGCAAAGAAUGAGUUUAUUUUGGUGUUCAGUUCCAGAGGGCUACAGUCUGUUAUGGUGGGGAAGGCGUGGCAGCAGCUGGAGCAUGAAGUCCCCUUGGCAGUCAGGAAUCAGCAUGAUCACAUUCCAUAUGUGUAC